rnacentral:rRNA from 1 species
UCUCCUACGGGAGGCAGCAGUGGGGGAUAUUGGACAAUGGGGGGAACCCUGAUCCAGCGACGCCGCGUGAGUGAAGAAGUAUUUCGGUAUGUAAAGCUCUGUCAGCAGGGAAGAAAGCAAUGACGGUACCUGACCAAGAAGCCCCGGCUAACUACGUGCCAGCAGCCGCGGUAAUACGUAGGGGGCAAGCGUUAUCCGGAUUUACUGGGUGUAAAGGGAGCGUAGACGGUAUGGCAAGUCUGAAGUGAAAGCCCAGGGCUUAAUCCUGGGACUGCUUUGGAAACUGUUAGACUAGAGUGCUGGAG